rfam:Colletotrichum higginsianum, IMI 349063, WGS project CACQ02000000 data, contig: cont1.920
GGUCUAUUAGUCUAGUUGGUUAGGACGUCGGAUUCUGAUGUAACAAUCAUAUCCUUCCGUAGGCCCAGGUUCGAAUCCUGGAUGGACCU